rnacentral:rRNA from 1 species
UACGGGGGGGGCAAGCGUUGUUCGGAAUUACUGGGCGUAAAGGGCUCGUAGGUGGCCAACUAAGUCAGACGUGAAAUCCCUCAGCUUAACUGGGGAACUGCGUCUGAUACUGGAUGGCUUGAGAUUGGGAGAGGGAUGCGGAAUUCCAGGUGUAGCGGUGAAAUGCGUAGAUAUCAGGAGGAACACCGGUGGCGAAGGCGGGUCUCUGGGCCAAUACUGACGCUGAGGAGCGAAAGCGUGGGGAGCGAACAGG